AACCUGCCUAUCAGAGGGGAAUAACAGUGAGAAGUCAUUGCUAAUACCGCAUAAGCUAGUAGUAUCGCAUGAUAUAGCUAGAAAAGGAGCAAUCCGCUGAUAGAUGGGCUUGCGUCUGAUUAGCUAGUUGGUGGGGUAACGGCCUACCAAGGCGACGAUCAGUAGCCGGACUGAGAGGUUGAACGGCCACAUUGGGACUGAGAUACGGCCCAGACUCCUACGGGAGGCAGCAG
rnacentral:rRNA from 1 species